UUGCUUUUCCUUUUUCUUUUUUUCUUUUCCUUUUUGACAGAGAAUCCUUCCUUGGCGAUAAGCAGAGGCAGUUGCUGGUUCAGACAGAGGGAGAGGGCUGUGGCGUCACGCGCCCCGCUGCUUAUCCUCACCACGGCUGCUGCCUCUGCUGGUUCGGGAGAGGGAGAGGGAGACAAGCGGGAAGAAGAGAAGUUUCGCUCGAGGAUGGACUUGCUUCCCUCCUGUUCCGGGAGGUAGCGGCCGAUGGCCAUUCACUUCAGUGGUCUUCAUGCCCUCAGAAAGGACACCAGCCAAAGCCUUUCUCUGAUCCCGUUGUAGCCUUCAUACAAAUAGAUCGAGGAUGGCCGGCGGCGCCAGAGGAGAACGGAGGACUGCCUUGAGGCCGGAUCAGGUUAUUUUCAAGGUCGUGACUGGUACGACGUUCCUUCUAAUGGCGGUGACAGGCUUAGGCUACCUAGCGCUUUCGUGGUCGACCGUAGUCCUCCUGGGUGCCUUUGUCACCGUGCUGCAGAAGAAGGAUUUCUGGUCUAUCACAGUCAUUAGUAUGAUUCAGGCAGCCAGGUCAGUGAAUGUCCUAUAUUUCCGUAUCUUCAUAUCUGUUGUCUACAUAAUCAUUAAAUAUUCUACACAAGUGUUACAUAAUACUCCCUAGCUCCGCCACAUGUAAAAUAAUAUAUGGCGCGAACACAAUUCAUAAUUCAAACAUUGAAAAAAUAUUUUGACCUACAAUUCAUCUUGUGCAAUGAAAACUUUAUCUUACAGAAAAGAAUAUCAUUGGAUUUUUUUUAAAGUACUUUCAUAUGGCUAUAAUUUUGUCGCUACAAACAUUAUAUGAUGGGCGACUUAUAAUCUUAGUAUUGGAGGCCUCAAUUUAUAAUUUGCGAUAGAGGGAGCAAGCAAUGGUACAGUGUGAUGAACAAGUCUUCAAGAAUACUAUACAAUGCUUUAUUUCUCUUUUAUUAUGUUGAAGGAAAGCAAUACAAACUUCUAAAGCCUUCCUCAAAACUCAUGAUCCAUGAUAUUUUCCAUGAAGGUAUUAGAUAUUGUUGCCAUGAAGAAAUUAGAAUAGUGCAGAAUAUAGAUAUUUGUCUACUGAAAACUCUAGAAGGGGACAUAUGUCAUCAUCCUAUGAACUCCCUUGGCCUAUAAAUAGAGGUCCCUUCCUUGCCAUACCAUUCAACCAUGAGCAUAGUAGAUGAGUGGAGUAUGGUAGAUGUAAAGGGUGAGUGCAAGACUAGCCACUAAAGAGAGGGUGUUGUACACUCUUAUGUAAUAUUGUUGUGUUGUAAUAAAGUUUUGUUUCUUAUAAGUGUUAGUCUCCCGGUUGGGCCAUAUAGUUUCUAAGUACUUAGUGCAUAAGUUGUGAUCCAUCGAAGGUUAGCUUUGUCACCUGGGAUCACAAGGGUCUGGACUUCAUCAUAGGUUGGUUCUGCCACCCGGAAGCCAACUUCAUCUGUUGGUAGGCUAUGCCACACGGAAAUGAGAAGGCGGCUCUGCCAUCAAAAGGACUCGUCGCAUUAAGUAACUAGAAAUUAAAAGGGGCUGACCGACUUCAGAGUGAGUUGGUGUCCUAGGUGUAGGUCCUCAGAUUAGUGGGUAUUAGGGCCACCUCAAUUUACAACAAUUGGUAUUAGAGCUUGGUGGUCCGGGAUCAUCUGGAGGAGGCUCUCUAGUAAGCAUAGGGUGCUUGUUGUGUUUGGUGCAAUACCGAGGCGCUAAGUAGAGACUCUGCCGGUGCACAGUCUGGGAAUGUGAAGCUCAUUGGUCCGGGAAUAAGAAAGCUAACUUGACGCCGGACGUCAGUUACCAUGGCAGAUCUUGCUAGCACAAGUGGUGGAAUUAAGAAACUCAAUAGCCAUAACUAUUGCUAUUGGAAGACCUACAUGGAGUCAUACCUACAAGGUCAAGACCAAUGGGAGGUUGUUGCGGGUGCCGAAACAGUGCCUCCACCAAAGGAGAGUGGUGAUAGUUCUUCGAAGAAGGAGGGAGCCAAUGCCUUGUGGAAAUGGCGCAUCAAAGCUGGUAAGGCUAUGUUCAUGCUGAAGAAAACUAUUAAGGAGGACCUACUGGAGUACAUCUGAGAUGCGGAGACCCCAAAGGAAGGAGGAGACAAUUGGCUAUGUCUAUGACCCCAAAUGAAGCACACCUCCAACUCUUAGAAAAGGAGUUGUUAGGUAUCUCUCAAGGAACUUUGACUAUUAGUCAAUAUUUCACAAAAGUAAAAUCCAUCUAUCGAGAGAUAUCCGAGCUUGCACCAGAUGAGAAGGUUGGUGAGGCCCGUACGAGGAGUAUCAUCAUGAAUGGCCUUAGACCCGAAUAUCAAGGGUUUAUAGCCGCAGGAGUGGAUGGCCUACUCAAUCUUAAUUGGUGGAGCUAGAAAAUUUGUUGGCUAAUCAGGAGGAGUUGGCCAAGAUGAUGGGAGGCAUUACUGUGAAGGAAGAAGAGGAGGCUCUCUUCACAAGAAAAAAGAAGGGACCAUCUUGGGGCAAGGAAGGCCGAAACCAAGGUGGAUAGAAGGUGGAAAGCAUCACCCAAAGGAGAAAAGUAGCUCUUCAGGGGGAGCCCAUGGACGAGAAAACUAGCAACAACAACCAAGAAAGGAUGGAUGCUUCAAUUGUGGUAAGAAGGGUCACUUUGCUCGAGAAUACCGAUUUCCAAGGAGGCACUUUGAAGGGAAUAAGAAGAGUUUUGAAGGGAAUGUGGCCACCACCACAUGAGAGAAAAAGGAGGCAUACACUAGGGAAUAAGAGUGGGAUGUUGAAGCUAGGUUUUCUCAGGACGUUGAAGAAGAUGAGUUGGAGGAGGACAUGGAGGCACCUGCAUUUUGCAGCAACAACUGAUCCAACAGUUAACUACAAGGAGGAUUGGAUCAUCGAUUCUGGGUGCUCCAACCACAUGACGAGUGAUGACAAAAAGUUGGAGGGAAUAGCCGACUAAAAGGGAAGGAGAGUUGUGCUUAUGGCAGACAACUCAAGAUUAUCCAUCUCUCAUGUUGGGAAGGCGGUCAUUCCAAGGUAUGGUCCUCAACAACUCCAACUCGAUAAGGUUUAUCAUGUUCCUAGCUUGAAGAAGAAUCUGUUGUUAGUUCCUCAGUUGAUAGCAGAAGGAAAAUACGUGCUCUUUGGGUUAGGAGGUGUGGCAAUUUUUAGGAAAUUGAAGGUGAUUGGCACACCCAUCAUGGAAGGAAGGAGGAGACAAUCGGUCUCUGUCCUCUUCGCUGAAUCUACUUAUGUGGACAAAACUCGGAGGAAUGAGACUAGUGAUCUUUGGCAUGUGCAUCUUGGAUAUGUUAACUACAGUAAGAUGAAGGAGAUGAUCCAGAAGCAAGUACUAAAAGGGCUUCCUCAAGUGGACAUCCAGACAGACACGGUUUGUGCUGGUUGUCAGUACGGCAAGGCUCAUCAAUUGCCAUACAAGGAAUCGAAACAUUGGUCCAAGAUGCCAUUGGAGCUCAUACACUCGGAUGUUUUCGGCCUAGUCAAGCAAAUAUUUAUUGGAGGGAUGAGCUACAUGGUGACUUGCAUUGACGUCUUCUCAAGGUACGUUUGGGUUUACUUUAUGAAAGAGAAGUCUAAAGCUUUCACAAAGUUUAAGGAGUUUAAGGAGAAGAUAGAAGAUGAACUCAACAUGAAAAUUAAGUGCCUCUAAACUAAUAAUGGGAGAAAGUAUUUGUCAAAUGAGUUCACUGUCUAUCUUAAGGAGCACAAAAUAAGAAGGCAAUUAACUUGUCCUAAUACUCCACUACAAAAUGGAGUAACGGAGCGCAAGAAUCACCAUCUUGAGGAGACUUGUCGAAGUAUGCUCCAUGCCAAUAACGUACCUACAAGGUUCUAGGCUAAGUGUAUAAGGACAACAGUCUAUGUAAUUAAUAGGCUACCUCAACCCAAGAUGGGAUUCAAGUCACCACAUGAGUUGCUAUGGAAGGUGAAGCUGGUGGUCAGCCAUCUCAAAGUAUUUGGCUGUAUUUGCUAUGCAUUUGUGCCUGAUCACCUAAGGAGUUAGUUUGAGAAGAAAGCAAUUCGGUGCAUCUUUGUUGGCUAUGAUGAUGCACGGAAAGGUUGGAGGUGCUGCGAUCCAACCACAGGAAAGUGCCACACCUCAAGAAAUGUGGUAUUUGAUGAAACCUUAGCAUGGUGGUUACCUAAGAAUGUUGAGCUACUGGAAUCACAUGAUUUUGAGGAGGUUCCUGAAGAAAUCCAAGAAGAGAAGGAGCAGGCACCAACCCCAAGUGAAGAUAAAGAGGAUUCCCCAAACAAAGCCAAGAGCUCUUAGAAGACUGGUGUCCAUCAGAUGACCUCGGAGGACCUCUCCAGCGGCGGGUCAUCCCUGGGAAACUCCUCCCAUUGAGGCUUGGCUUUGACCCUCUGACCAGCUACCUUCUCGACCUCGGGGUCGACCGGGGCAAUAUCUGCAACUUCAGAGGUUGCUUCAUCACGUUGCGGCGCUAGAGUCAGCAUGACUUCCUUGAUGCGACCCUCCUUAUCGACUCCAGCCUCCGAGGGUGGGGACAUUUCCACGGUGCGACUGUUGGUCGCCUCGGUCUAGGCCGAGCAGCUAGUCAGCUACACACCACCGUCAUCGGACAGCACGGCGGUCCUGCAUCGCCGGCACAACAAGCAAUUCACACAAGUUAGUUGGCAACCAUGAUUGCAACUUGGACAGCAUAAGUAGGUGGCACUUAUAGGGUGCUCUUCUUCUUCACUCGGUACUGGGGCGCAAUGGUGGAGGCGGCGCUGAUGCAUCUUCACUGGGUGCGCCACGGAUCUUUGCCUUCAAUGCCUCCUUGACGCACGCUGCGUCAGCCGCGGUGGUCUCCUGGAGCUUCGACUUCUUUUUUUUCAUGACCAAGCUCGGUGUGUCAAACUCCUUGUCCGAAUCGCUAGCUGACCUAGCUGGGGCAACUGUGCUCAGGGCAGCCUUCUCUUUCUUCUUCCUGGCCAUCUUUCUCCUCUUCCCUCUCGGCUGCAGCACCUUGGAGAUGGCCUCUUUGCGCACGGUUUGCUGUGUCUAUCGCCCAAACAGCUCAGCACCUUGGGCCUGGCUGACCUCUUCCGUCACGCCCACAUCCGACCCAAUGGAGGAGUCAGUUUCCCACUAAAGGUCAGCGAGCGGUGCAACGGGCUCGUCGAUGGGCAGAUCUUGGGUUGUCUUGCAUCGACUCCUUCAGGUUGGAUGGCGGCCUCUUCAAUGAGUAAGCUUUGGGGUAGUUCCUGUCACUGAUUCGGCCCCCUUAGAACUUGGCCACCCUGUUGAUGAUCUCCGCCUUAGAUGCAAAUUUUUCCGAGAUGCAGAGUGCUUUGUCGAUAAUCUUCCCAAUGGUCAUGUAGUCGAUAUGCGGUGUAGGCAAAUGUGCUCCCUCAUCUUGAUUAAUCCCAAUUCAUAUACCUGCGCUAGGUUGGUGAAAGGUGAUGCUUCAGAUCGCGGAGUACCCGAGGAGGAGCGCGAGGAGGAGUUCGACCGUGAGCCCGAGCCCGAG